rnacentral:rRNA from 1 species
CCUACGGGGGGCAGCAGUGGGGAAUAUUGGACAAUGGGAGCAACCCUGAUCCAGCCAUGCCGCGUGUGUGAAGAAGGCCCUCGGGUUGUAAAGCACUUUCAGUGAGGAAGAACGCCUGGUGGUUAAUACCCAUCAGGAAAGACAUCACUCACAGAAGAAGCACCGGCUAACUCCGUGCCAGCAGCCGCGGUAAUACGGAGGGUGCGAGCGUUAAUCGGAAUUACUGGGCGUAAAGCGCGCGUAGGUGGCUUGAUAAGCCGGUUGUGAAAGCCCCGGGCUCAACCUGGGAACGGCAUCCGGAACUGUCAAGCUAGAGUGCAGGAGAGGAAGGUAGAAUUCCCGGUGUAGCGGUGAAAUGCGUAGAGAUCGGGAGGAAUACCAGUGGCGAAGGCGGCCUUCUGGACUGACACUGACACUGAGGUGCGAAAGCGUGGGUAGCAAACAGGAUUAGAUACCCUAGUAGUC